UGCCGCGUGAGUGAAGAAGGCCCUUGGGUUGUAAAGCUCUUUCGUCGGGGAAGAAAAUGACUGUACCCGAAUAAGAAGGUCCGGCUAACUUCGUGCCAGCAGCCGCGGUAAUACGAAGGGACCUAGCGUAGUUCGGAAUUACUGGGCUUAAAGAGUUCGUAGGUGGUUAAAAAAGUUGGUGGUGAAAUCCCAGAGCUUAACUCUGGAACUGCCAUCAAAACUUUUUAGCUAGAGUAUGAUAGAGGAAAGCAGAAUUUCUAGUGUAGAGGUGAAAUUCGUAGAUAUUAGAAAGAAUACCAAUUGCGAAGGCAGCUUUCUGGAUCAUUACUGACACUGAGGAACGAAAGCAUGGGUAGCGAAGAGGAUUAGAUACCCUCGUAGUCCAUGCCGUAAACGAUGUGUGUUAGACGUUGGAAAUUUAUUUUCAGUGU
rnacentral:rRNA from 1 species